rnacentral:rRNA from 1 species
UACGGAGGGUGCAAGCGUUAUCCGGAUUCACUGGGUGUAAAGGGUUCGUAGGCGGUGCGGCAAGUUGGGAGUGAAAUCUCUGGGCUUAACCCAGAGGCUGCUUCCAAAACUGCUGUGCUUGAGUGUGGGAGAGGCGCGUGGAAUUGCAGGUGUAGCGGUGAAAUGCGUAGAUAUCUGCAGGAACACCAGUGGCGAAGGCGGCUCACUGGCCCGAUACUGACGCUGAGGCACGAAAGCGUGGGGAGCAAACAGG